UAUGUAGGGGGCAAGCGUUGUCCGGAAUCAUUGGGCGUAAAGCGCGUGUAGGCGGCUCGAUAAGUCCGCUCUGAAAGUCCAGGGCUCAACCCUGGGAUGCGGGUGGAUACUGUCGGGCUCGAGUCCGGAAGAGGCGAGUGGAAUUCCCGGUGUAGCGGUGAAAUGCGCAGAUAUCGGGAGGAACACCAAUGGCGAAGGCAGCUCGCUGGGACGUGACUGACACUGAGAGACGAAAGCUAGGGGAGCGAAUGGG
rnacentral:rRNA from 1 species